UACGAAGGGGGCUAGCGUUGCUCGGAAUCACUGGGCGUAAAGGGUGCGUAGGCGGGUCUUUAAGUCAGGGGUGAAAUCCUGGAGCUCAACUCCAGAACUGCCUUUGAUACUGAAGAUCUUGAGUUCGGGAGAGGUGAGUGGAACUGCGAGUGUAGAGGUGAAAUUCGUAGAGAUUGGGAAGAACACCAGUGGCGAAGGCGGCUAUCUGGACGGUUUCUGACGCUAAGACGCGAAAGCGUGGGGAGCAAACAGG
rnacentral:rRNA from 1 species